rnacentral:rRNA from 1 species
UACGGGGGGAGCAAGCGUUGUUCGGAUUCAUUGGGCGUAAAGGGCGCGUAGGCGGCUUGGCAAGUCCGACAUGAAAUGUACCGGUUCAACCGGGGCACUGUGUCGGAAACUGCCUGGCUUGAGGUCGAGGGAGGAGAGUGGAAUUCUUGGUGUAGCGGUGAAAUGCGUAGAUAUCAGGAGGAACACCCGUGGCGAAGGCGGCUCUCUAUCUCGAUUCUGACGCUGAGGCGCGAAAGCUAGGGGAGCAAACGGG